rnacentral:rRNA from 1 species
AGAGACAGCAGCCGCCGCGGGAAUACGAAGGGGGCUAGCGUUGCUCGGAAUUACUGGGCGUAAAGGGAGCGUAGGCGGACAUUUAAGUCAGGGGUGAAAUCCCGGGGCUCAACCUCGGAAUUGCCUUUGAUACUGGGUGUCUUGAGUAUGAGAGAGGUAUGUGGAACUCCGAGUGUAGAGGUGAAAUUCGUAGAUAUUCGGAAGAACACCAGUGGCGAAGGCGACAUACUGGCUCAUUACUGACGCUGAGGCUCGAAAGCGUGGGGAGCAAACAGGAUUAGAUACCCGCGUAGUCCCUGUCUCUUAUAC